rnacentral:lncRNA from 1 species
UCCGAUGAGAAAUCAAUGGUGAUUUGUCGAGAGAUGCUUGAUAGAAUCCAAAAGCAAUCGAACAGUCUCGUGGCGAUUGAUUGGAUUUUGAAGUUGAUACACAGAAGAGAAGAGAAAGAUUUAUAAAUCAUAUCACUAAGUCUGACAUGCCCUAGAACUCCGAUUCUUCAAAGAAAUCGAAGGAAGAAGAAGACUCCCAUCAAGAAUCUUCCUCUUUGUUUGACACAUUCAAAGCACAUGUGCGACCAAACCCAAUAAGUUUGUGCUGAAUUAGCUAGGCUGGGUC